AGACAAAAGUCAACUACUGCUGAGGCAUGGGCUUAAUAAAUGUUGACUAAAAUAUCCAACUCAACAACCAAUCCUGUAUAAUUUUCAAACUGUGUCAGUAACUUGCCAGGUCCAACCUGCAGACCCUGGCCACAUGACGGGUGAAGAAAUGCACUCAGACACAGAUCCCCUACAAAAGACCAUGUUUCUUCUCAGCUUGCUCAGUCCAGCUGAGCCAGCUUUCCACUGGACUCCUGAAUGUGAGAAGGACACAGGCUCCCAGGACUAUCCAGAAGCAUGCCUCAUCACCAUAAAGCUCUGAAACACCGGCUGGGUGCAGAGGCUCACACCCGUAAUCCCAACACAUUCAGAGGCUGAGGUGAGAGGAUCACUUGAGGCCAGGAACUCAAGACCAGCCUAGGCAGCAUAGCAAGACCCCAUCUCUACAAAAAGUAUACCCCAAAAUUAGCUGGGUGUGGUGGCACAUGCCUGUAGUCUCAAUUAAUUGGGAGGCUGAGGCGGGACUAUCCCUUGAGCCCAGGAGUUUGAGGCUGCAGUGAGGUAUGAUCGCACCACCACACUCCAGCCUGGGAGACAGAUUGAGACCAUCUCUAAAACAACAACAACAGGCCAGGUGCAGUGGUUCAUGCCUGUAAUCCCAGCAAUUUGGGAGGCUGAGGCGGGUGGAUCACCUGAGGUCAGGAGUUCAAGAACAGCCUGGGCAACCUGGUAAAAUCCCAUCUCUACUAAAAAUACAAAAAAAUUAGCAGGGCAUGGUGGCAGGCGCCUGUAAUCCCAGCUACUCGGGAGGCUGAGGGAGGAGAAUUGCUUGCACCCAGGAGGCGGAGAUUGCAGUGAGGUGAGAUCAUGUCAUUGCACUCCAGUCUGGGCAACAAGAGCAAAAGUUUGUCUCAAAAUAUAAAAAAUAUAAAAAAUACAACAAAAAAAUGAGACACAGAAAACAAAUAUUUUGUUUCAUUUUAUUAUUGCUUGUUAGUUGAUUAAAGUAAUUCUGCUUCCACUUACUUUAUUUUUGAAGACACUAAUUGCUACACUGAAUAAAACCUUAAUGAAGUUUCA
rnacentral:lncRNA from 1 species